ACGCUAGCUACAGGCUUAACACAUGCAAGUCGAGGGCAGCGGGUUGAAAGCUUGCUUUCAAUGCCGGCGACCGGCGCACGGGUGCGUAACGCGUAUCAAACCUGCCUCAUACUCGGGGAUAGCCUUGCGAAAGUAAGAUUAAUACCCGAUGUUGUUACUUUCUCGCAUGGGAGAGUAACCAAAGAUUUAUCGGUAUGAGAUGGUGAUGCGUCCGAUCAGGUAGUAGGCGGGGUAACGGCCCACCUAGCCUUCGAUCGGUAGGGGUUCUGAGAGGAAGGUCCCCCACACUGGAACUGAGACACGGUCCAGACUCCUACGGGAGGCAGCAGUGAGGAAUAUUGGUCAAUGGGCGAGAGCCUGAACCAGCCAAGUAGCGUGCAGGAUGACGGCCCUCCGGGUUGUAAACUGCUUUUAGUUGGGAAUAAAAAAAGGGACUUGUCCCUUCUUGUAUGUACCUUCAGAAAAAGGACCGGCUAAUUCCGUGCCAGCAGCCGCGGUAAUACGGAAGGUCCAGGCGUUAUCCGGAUUUAUUGGGUUUAAAGGGAGCGUAGGCGGAUUGUUAAGUCAGCGGUUAAAGGGUGUGGCUCAACCAUGCAUUGCCGUUGAAACUGGCGAUCUUGAGUGCAGACAGGGAUGCCGGAAUUCGUGGUGUAGCGGUGGAAUGCUUAGAUAUCACGAAGAACUCCGAUCGCGAAGGCAGGUGUCCGGGCUGCAACUGACGCUGAGGCUCGAAAGUGUGGGUAUCAAACAGGAUUAGAUACCCUGGUAGUCCACACAGUAAACGAUGUAUACUCGCGGUUUGCGAUAGACAGUAAGCCGCCAAGCGAAAGCAUUAAGUAUACCACCUGGGGAGUACGCCGGCUACGGUGAAACUCAAAGGAAUUGACGGGGGCCCGCACAAGCGGAGGAACAUGUGGUU
rnacentral:rRNA from 1 species